UUGGGUUCUGAAAACCUAGAAGGAAAAGAAAAGAGGCGGAGCCUCUCUCUCCGUCCUCACGCUCGCUGCUCUCUCUUCCGCGACGAACAACAACAUCAACAGCGCUUAAUAAAGCUCAACCAUGGUAGCUUUUUGUUCUCAUCUUCAUCUCUCUUGCGAGCGACAACAACAACGAUGGUCUUUGGUUCUCUCUCUCGCGAAAACGACGACAACAACAGAAAAACCUCUCUCUCGGUUUCUCAAGGCGGCCAUGGAAUAAGCUCGAAGAAGCUCACAUACUCACGAAUCCAGAUCUAUCUGGAGCAUGUGUGGUGAAUGUGCGGUGAAUGCUGAAUGGCGAAAGUAGCUACACCAAGUGCCAUGCCUCCGAGUUCUCAUGGAAUUUCAUCGGUACCUCUAAAAGGUGCUUCUAUUGCUAAAAGAAAGACGCCUUCAAAACUUAGGGGAUAGCUUCUUAGACGGGCAUGGAUGCAGGCUUGAUUGAGUUAUAUUUGGGCGAGGAUGUCAAUUGCAUCAGCAGUUAUCUUUGGGUCAGUUUUCUGGAGAAUGGGAAAAUCUCAGACUUCAAUUCAAGACAGAAUGGGAUUGCUUCAGGUUGGUAGCAUGGUUAUGGACAUGGCAUACUAUUGGUUUGUGAAUGCACUUGAAGCUAGGACUUGAUUACUUGAAGAAGCAGCAAAAAGACUCUUGUAAUUUCCUAUUUCUUAAUGAACCCUUGGAUGUUAAUGUAAUUGUCCACUUUUUUCUAUUUCUUUUUAAUUUUUUGUGACAUUGUAUCUGAUAUCAACUUCCUUCCUCUAUGUACUACUGAUCAUUGGAAUUUUACAAUGUCGAUGAGCUUGAAAUCAUGGCUAGUACUACUGAUCAUUUAAUGGCAACCGAUGUUGAGAGGCUUCAGUGGGCCGUUGGAAUUUUACAAUGUUGACGAGCUUAAAAUCAUGGCCAGUACUACUGAUCAUUUAAUGGCAACCGACGUUGAAUGGGAUCCAUCUAGAAGGCCCUAAAAUCUGAAGAAAGGAGAUAAAGGUAGUGUCAUUCAAGCCAAGUCUGCCAAAGGAUUUUCAGGCGACUACUCUGUUAUAGCAUCAUUCAGACCUUGUCGCUUUUGCAUCUGAGUUGACAACCAACAUAAGGACUAUAGCAUCAUUUUGUCACUGUUCUUGACAAUUUCAAUUUUCUUGAAAUUGAAUAUUGACUUCUUAUAUGCAUGUAAUGUAUAUAGAUUAUGAUAUGCAUGUAAUGUAUAUAGAUAAGACACUAAUGUGUUAUGGUUUAGGAAUGGUUUGAAUUGAAAGGGUGGUUGCAGUAAAUUUAUGAAAGAAUAUUGCAAAGCA